rnacentral:rRNA from 1 species
UGACCUGCGGAGGAUCAUUACAGCAUUAACGAUCGAGGGAGGUUAGAUGCCGCGCUCGCGAGGGCGCGCGCGCACCUCUUCUCGUGUCCAUCACACACACACACCUGUGAACCCACGGGGGAGGCAAAGCGCCCGUCGGGCGUUUCGCCCCCUUUCGUAUCCCCAUUACACCUCAGCCUGUUAUGAAACGCAUGUCGCCAGCCCCACGGGGCGGAAAAAGUUAAUACAACUUUCAACAACGGAUCUCUUGGCUUUCGCAUCGAUGAAGGACGCCGCGAAAGUGCGAAACGUAAUGUGAAUUGCAGAAUUCAGUGAAUCAUCGAAUCUUUGAACGCAUCUUGCGCUCCUUGGUAUUCCGAGGAGCAUGCCUGUUUGAGUGUCGUGAACACCCUCUCGACCUUUUUCCUUUGGAAACGGGUCGGAUUUGGACGCUUGCGGCGUCGAAAGGUCGCCGCUCGUCUUCAAACGCAUUUAGCCGGGUCCCCUCGCGAGUCGGUCCGACGACGGUGUGAUAACAAACGCUUCGUCGACUGUAGCGCCGUUUCGGCCGACUCUUGUAAAUCGGGGGGGAUCGCUUCCAAUCGACCUUCGYGUCAUGUCGUUUGACCUCAAAUCAGGUAGGACUACCCGCCGAACUUAAGCAUAUCAAUAAGCGGAGGAAAAGAAACUAACGAGGAUUCCCCUAGUAACGGCGAGUGAAGCGGGAAGAGCUCAAAUU